rnacentral:rRNA from 1 species
UACAGAGGGUGCAAGCGUUAAUCGGAAUUACUGGGCGUAAAGCGUGCGUAGUCGGUUAUCUAAGUCGGGUGUGAAAUCCCCCGGGCGUCAACCUGGGAAUUGCAUUCGAUACUGGAUAGCUAGAGUUCGGCAGAGGGAAGCGGAAUUUCGGGUGUAGCGGUGAAAUGCGUAGAUAUCCGAAGGAACAUCAGUGGCGAAAGCGGCUCCUGGACCAGAACGUGACGAUCAGGCACGAAAGCGUGGGGGAGCAAACAGGG